rnacentral:rRNA from 1 species
UACAGAGGUCUCAAGCGUUGUUCGGAUUCAUUGGGCGUAAAGGGUGUGUAGGUGGCUCGCUAAGUCUGGUGUGAAAUUUCGGAGCUUAACUCCGAAACUGCAUUCGAUACUGGCGUGCUUGAGGACUGGAGAGGAGACUGGAAUUCAUGGUGUAGCAGUGAAAUGCGUAGAGAUCAUGAGGAAGACCAGUGGCGAAGGCGGGUCUCUGGACAGUUCCUGACACUGAGACACGAAGGCCAGGGGAGCAAACGGG